UACGGAGGGGGCUAGCGUUGUCCGAAGUUACUGGGCGUAAAGCGCGCGUAGGCGGGUUGGUAAGUCCGCUGUGAAAGCCCGGAGCUCAACUCCGGAGGGUCGGUGGAUACUGCCAGUCUUGAAGGUGCUAGGGGGAGAUGGAAUUACCGGUGUAGCGGUGAAAUGCGCAGAUAUCAGGAGGAACACCAAUAGCGAAGGCAGCUCGCUGGGACGUUACUGACACUGAGGCGCGAAAGCGUGGGGAGCGAACAGG
rnacentral:rRNA from 1 species